rnacentral:rRNA from 1 species
AGUCGAGCGAGACCUUCGGGUCUAGCGGCGGACGGGUUAGUAACGCGUGGGAAUAUACCCUUCACUACGGAAUAGCCUCGGGAAACUGGGAGUAAUACCGUAUACGCCCUUUGGGGGAAAGAUUUAUCGGUGAAGGAUUAGCCAGCGUCUGAUUAGAUAGUUGGUGGGGUAAUGGCCUACCAAGUCUACGAUCAGUAGCUGGUUUGAGAGGAUGAUCAGCAACACUGGACUGAGACACGGCCCAGACUCCUACGGGAGGCAGCAGUGGGGAAUCUUAGACAAUGGGCGCAAGCCUGAUCUAGCCAUGCCGCGUGAGUGACGAAGGCCUUAGGGUCGUAAAGCUCUUUCGCCAGAGAUGAUAAUGACAGUAUCUGGUAAAGAAACCCCGGCUAACUCCGUGCCAGCAGCCGCGGUAAUACGGAGGGGGUUAGCGUUGUUCGGAAUUACUGGGCGUAAAGCGCACGUAGGCGGAUUGGAAAGUAUGGGGUGAAAUCCCAGGGCUCAACCCUGGAACGGCCUUGUAAACUCCCAGUCUAGAGUUCGAGAGAGGUGAGUGGAAUUCCAAGUGUAGAGGUGAAAUUCGUAGAUAUUUGGAGGAACACCAGUGGCGAAGGCGGCUCACUGGCUCGAUACUGACGCUGAGGUGCGAAAGUGUGGGGAGCAAACAGGAUUAGAUACCCUGGUAGUCCACACCGUAAACGAUGAAUGCCAGACGUCAGGGGGCUUGCCCUUUGGUGUCACACCUGACGGAUUAAGCAUUCCGCCUGGGGAGUACGGGCGCAAGAUUAAAACUCAAAGGAAUUGACGGGGGCCCCCCAAGCGGUGGAG